CAAUUUCUGGGAAAGGAACCCCCAUCCAUCUAAGCCUGAAAUGUAAGAGUCAUAUGUGAGCCCUCCUUCCUCAACCUCUCACAGCCAAUCUAUUACAAAUCUCAACUAAUUUUUACCACUGAAAUGUCUCUCAGAUCUAUUUCUCGCUCUGUCUACAACCAUCACUCCAUCCAAGGAAAUGUCAUUCUUCACCUCCAGCAGUCCUAACCACUUAAGCCCCAGAUCUACUAAACGGACCCCCUUCAACUCCUUCUUCAUAGGGUAGCCAAAGUGGUCUUCACAUAAGCAAAUCUCAUUAGAUCCCCAUCUCUAAUUCCUCUCAUCACAACAGCCAGACCUCCCAAUGCUCUGGGGUAAAGGCGGAACUCCCCAAAGGCCCCAGGUCUGGCUGGCUGGGCUGCAGGAUAACCCUGACACCAAAAUGGAACGGAAAGGUCUGGAAGUCACUGCUCUGUCCACAGCCCUGGCACCACUCCUGGGGAGGCUUCAAACUCCUGAGUCAGGCUCAGAAUGAGCUCAGUCUUGCCAGGUUUGUCCCCUCCCCCAGUGCACAGCUGACCGCAGAUGGGAAAGGGAGCUGGUGGCCAGGCAGGGGAAACCCAGCUGGGCCGAAGCCAGGGGCUGUGUAUUUCAGGAGGAGGUGACAGAGCGGCAGCAGCACCAACUCAACUGUCAGUAUCUGUGGGGCCAGCUAAGAGAAGGCAGCUAUCUGGGAUUACAAAACUCAAGGAGUCUAUCUCUUCCCUCUUAUCAGACUGACCUUUGGCAGCCUUGCAGCCUGUGAACAAACUGCCAUUAACAACCCCUCCCCCGCUUCCUGUAAGCACAAUUCUUUGUGACCAGCCCAGGACAGCCAGAGGCUGCCAGAAAGCCUGCCCCUUCCUCCCUGCUAGGGUGGGGCUUGGGGCCCAUCUCUCCCCAGACCCCUCUAUCCUAUCCCUCCCUCUUGGACACAAUCCAGGAAACCUUAUGCUCUGCUCAAACUGGACUUCUCAAGGUCCCCACACGUCCCCUGCCUUCUCAGUUCAGGCCUUUGUAUCUUGGUAUGUGUGGCCUUUUCCUCACUACCUUCCUCCUCUUCUCUACAGUGAGAUCCUACCCAGCCCCUUCCAAGCGGGUUCUCAACUCCUCACAGAUCUGCCACGUGGCUGUGCGGCUGACCCAGCGCCUCCCAGAUCAGUCUGAUUCCACCUCCCACCCUGGCUUUGGGGAAAAACCUGGCUAGAGCAGAGCACAGGAUGUAAAAGGGUGGGGGAGAACUUGGCAAAUAAAAAAAUGGGAAUCCUAUUAACAGUCACCCCAGGGCCUAAAUGGUGGCCAGAGUAAGAAGGGAGGAAAGAGACCAGAUGGAGUUUUCUGCCUGAAUCCAGGACAGAGCAGGAGUUGGAAGUGGGGGUGAGGAACUACUGGAUGCAGGGGAACUGAGCACAGCCCCCUCAGCUGCAGGAGCCUGAGUUGUCCAGGGAGAUGCCAGAGCAGGCUGGCUGCUGCUUAACGCAUCCAAACAGGUUAGGAGAAAGUUCAAGCCAAUUCCCACAGACAUCUGGCCCUUAUGAUGGCCUCCUGGGCCCCCAGUACUACCUCCCCACUCAGGCUGUGGCGGGCUUCUGUCAAUCAGGUUGACCAGAUGGCUGAAGAAUGAAUCCCUGAGGCCGGGUAAGGUGGCUCAAGCCUGUAAUCCCAGCACUUUGGGAGGCUGAGGUGGGCAGAUCACGAGGUCAGGAGAUCGAGACCAUCCUGGCUAACACGGUGAAACACCGUCUCUACUAAAAAUACAAAAAAUUAGCCGGGCGUAGUGGCAGAUGCCUGUAGUCCCAGCUAGCAGGCUGAGGCAGCAAGAAUCCUAUAUGCAUUCAACCAGACCAAGCCCUAGACUGUGAAAAUCAGCUGCACCCUCAUGCCCCCUGAGAAUAACAAGCUGCUUUCCCUUGAGGACAGCCAAACAGACCUGCCCUGAUGCUCCUGGGCCCUCGGCCAGCCCAGGCCUCCACCUGGGCCUCUGGGCUGCCAACAGAGGGCCAGCAGGCCUCACUUUGUCUGCACAGCAUUAGUGGCAGGGUAUGCCCAGGGAUCCAGGCUGGGCAGGAACUGCCAGGACUGGCAGCAUGGGUGGAAGACAAUGCCCUCUAAAAUACCUCAGCCAGGUCUGAAGGGGCUGAGGUAUGCAGACAGCUGGGCACUGCCACUUGAGAUGAAAACUCACACUCAUUCUAGAAGCCUACCCACUGUUGCUUU
rnacentral:lncRNA from 1 species